GAUCAAGUGUCUUAAGGGCAAUUGGUGGAUGCCUUGGCAUGCACAGGCGAUGAAGGACGUGAUACGCUGCGAUAAGCUACGGGGAGGUGCGAAUACCCUUUGAUCCGUAGAUUUCCGAAUGGGGAAACCCACCUAAGGU
rnacentral:rRNA from 1 species